rnacentral:rRNA from 1 species
CCUACGGGAGGCAGCAGUCGAGAAUUUUUCUCAAUGGGGGCAACCCUGAAGGAGCGACGCCGCGUGGGGGAUGAAGGGUUUCGAUCCGUAAACCCCUGUCAUUUGUGAACAAUGGUUAUUAUUUAAAAGAUGAUGACUUGAUAGUAAUGAAAGAGGAAGGGACGGCUAACUCUGUGCCAGCAGCCGCGGUA